rnacentral:rRNA from 1 species
CCUACGGGAGGCUGCAGUGGGGAAUCUUGGUCAAUGGGGGAAACCCUGAACCAGCGACGCCGCGUGACCGAUGAAGGCCCUCGGGUCGUAAAGGUCUUUCGACGGGGACUAUAAUGAAUGUACCCGUAAAAGCAGGAGCGGCUAACUAUGUGCCAGCAGCCGCGGUAAUACAUAGGCUCCAAGCGUUGUUCGGAAUUACUGGGCGUAAAGCGAGUGUAGGCUGUCCGCCAAGUCGAUUGUGAAAUCUCCCGGCUCAACUGGGAGGGUGCGGUCGAAACUGGCGGACUAGAGUUCGGGAGAGGAGAGUGGAAUUCCUGGUGUAGCGGUGAAAUGCGUAGAUAUCAGGAGGAACACCGGCGGUGAAGACGGCUCUCUGGACCGAUACUGACGCUGAGACUCGAAAGCGUGGGGAGCAAACAGGAUUAGAUACCCGUGUAGUC